UAUCAAUUUUCCAAGUUUUAACUGCAUGCAGAAGUUGUAACAACAACGCUUUUUAAAUCACUGGAAAAAUGGCGAAAUAUUACGCAAGAAACCCAGUAAACUUCCAGCGAACUUUAAGAUCACUGGAAGUUUUUCGUUGAAGUCUUUUGUUUCCAUGGAAAUCCAGGGAACUUUGCCGAAAACCCAGUGAUCUUAGUAAAUUUCCAGUGGUCUUUUAAAUUUCCAGCGAACUUUCGCUGGAAGUUCGCUGGGUUUUUUUGUAAGGGAUAAGAAACCAAGUAAAAAAUUGAACAUAAUAGCAACAGAUUUAUCUUUCGAACUGUUUGCAAAACUUUUGGUUAGGAUACAAAAUACCAAGUGAAAAUGAUACUGGAAAGACUGUUUACCGUUUGACUCCUGUCCCAAUCUAACCUAGUGGGUUCAAAAAGAAAAGACCGCGCUGGAAACAUGAGGUGGUUAAAAGGAUCAGCCCUUUUUGAAUUAAUAGUCAAAGUCGUAACCAGCUAGAAGUCGUAACCAGCUCGUAUGAAAGGAUUUCUCGACGUGAAAUAGUUAAUUUUAUUCAAAAACUCCAAGAAACAGAGGUCGCUCAAGAAACACAAAAGACAGAGAAAGAUGAAAAAAUAUUCUGUUGAACAAUACUGUUGUUUUAUUUAUAAAUUAUUCUCCUAUGUUUAA